GAUCCUGGCUCAGAUUGAACGCUGGCGGCAGGCCUAACACAUGCAAGUCGAGCGGUAGAGAGAAGCUUGCUUCUCUUGAGAGCGGCGGACGGGUGAGUAAUGCCUAGGAAUCUGCCUGGUAGUGGGGGAUAACGUUCGGAAACGGACGCUAAUACCGCAUACGUCCUACGGGAGAAAGCAGGGGACCUUCGGGCCUUGCGCUAUCAGAUGAGCCUAGGUCGGAUUAGCUAGUUGGUGAGGUAAUGGCUCACCAAGGCGACGAUCCGUAACUGGUCUGAGAGGAUGAUCAGUCACACUGGAACUGAGACACGGUCCAGACUCCUACGGGAGGCAGCAGUGGGGAAUAUUGGACAAUGGGCGCAAGCCUGAUCCAGCCAUGCCGCGUGUGUGAAGAAGGUCUUCGGAUUGUAAAGCACUUUAAGUUGGGAGGAAGGGCAGUAAAUUAAUACUUUGCUGUUUUGACGUUACCGACAGAAUAAGCACCGGCUAACU
rnacentral:rRNA from 1 species